rnacentral:rRNA from 1 species
AUUGAACGCUAGCGGGAUGCUUUACACAUGCAAGUCGAACGGCAGCGCGGACUUCGGUCUGGCGGCGAGUGGCGAACGGGUGAGUAAUGUAUCGGAACGUGCCCAGUAGCGGGGGAUAACUACGCGAAAGCGUAGCUAAUACCGCAUACGCCCUACGGGGGCAAGCAGGGGAUCGUAAGACCUUGCCCUAUUGGAGCGGCCGAUAUCGGAUUAGCUAGUUGGUGAGGUAACGGCUCACCAAGGCGACCAUCCGUAGCUGGUUUGAGAGGACGACCAGCCACACUGGGACUGAGACACGGCCCAGACUACUACGGGAGGCAGCAGUGGGGAAUGGUGGACAAUGGGGGCGACCCUGAUCCAGCCAUCCCGCGUGUGCGAUGAAGGCCUUCGGGUUGUAAAGCACUUUUGGCAGGAAAGAAACGUCGCGGGCUAAUACCCCGUGGAACUGACGGUACCUGCAGAAUAAGCACCGGCUAACUACGUG